rnacentral:rRNA from 1 species
GACGAACGCUGGCGGCGUGCCUAAUACAUGCAAGUUGAGCGCUGAAGGUUGGUACUUGUACCAACUGGAUGAGCAGCGAACGGGUGAGUAACGCGUGGGGAAUCUGCCUUUGAGCGGGGGACAACAUUUGGAAACGAAUGCUAAUACCGCAUAAAAACUUUAAACACAAGUUUUAAGUUUGAAAGAUGCAAUUGCAUCACUCAAAGAUGAUCCCGCGUUGUAUUAGCUAGUUGGUGAGGUAAAGGCUCACCAAGGCGAUGAUACAUAGCCGACCUGAGAGGGUGAUCGGCCACAAUGGGACUGAGACACGGCCCAAACUCCUACGGGAGGCAGCAGUAGGGAAUCUUCGGCAAUGGACGAAAGUCUGACCGAGCAACGCCGCGUGAGUGAAGAAGGGUUUCGGAUCGUAAAACUCUGUUGGUAGAGAAGAACGUUGGUGAGAGUGGAAAGCUCAUCAAGUGACGGUAACUACCCAGAAAGGUACGGCUAACUACGUG